AGCCUUUUAGUUUGUGAACCCGAAACUAGGGGAGCUACUCCAAGACAGCCUAAUAAUAGGGCAAACCCGUCUCUGUUGCAAAAGAGUGGGGUGAGCUUUGAGUAGAGGUGAUAGACCUACCGAACCUAGUUAUAGCUGGUUGCCCAAGAAAUGAAUAGUAGUUCAGCUUUACGGCUUCUCCCUUCUCAUCAGUACAUGCAAUCCCUGAUAUUUUAAGAAACCUUAAAAGUUAUUCAAAAGGGGUACAGCCCUUUUGAAACAAGACACAACUUUCCCAGGAGGGUAAAGAUCAUAAUUACAUAAGGUAAUUGACCCCGGGGGCUCGAAAGCAGCCACCCCCUUAAGAAAGCGUCUAAGCUCGUAAGAAUGUUACCCCUCUCCCAAUUCUGAUCAUUUUAUCUUACCCCCCUAAAUUUAUUGGGCCGGCCCAUGCCAACAUGGGGGGGCCAUGCUAAUAUGAGUAAUAAGAAAGCUAUGGCUUUCUCCCCGCACACAUGUAAAUCGGAAUGGACCCCCCCCCGAAGAUUAACGGCCCAAUUACAGAGGGGUAGGUGGCCGAUUAACCAAACACCAGGAAAUCCUUCAACCACCAACCGUGGCCCAACACAGGUGUGCCCCAGGGGAAAACUUAAAGGGAGAGAAGGACUCGGCAACACAUAAAGCCUUGCUGUUUACCAAAACAUUGCUUUUGCAAAUAAUGAAUAAAAGGUCCGCCUGCCCUGUGACUAUUAGUUUAACGGCCGGGGUAUUUU
rnacentral:rRNA from 1 species